rnacentral:rRNA from 1 species
UACGGGGGGAGCAAGCGUUGUUCGGAUUUACUGGGCGUAAAGGGCGCGUAGGCGGUCAGCACAAGUCAGUUGUGAAAUCUCCGGGCUUAACUCGGAAAGGUCAACUGAUACUGUGCGACUAGAGUGCAGAAGGGGCAACUGGAAUUCUCGGUGUAGCGGUGAAAUGCGUAGAUAUCAAGAGGAACACCUGCGGCGAAGGCGGGUUGCUGGGCCGACACUGACGCUGAAGCGCGAAAGCCAGGGGAGCGAACGGG